rnacentral:rRNA from 1 species
CCUACGGGUGGCAGCAGUGAGGAAUAUUGGUCAAUGGACGAGAGUCUGAACCAGCCAAGUAGCGUGAAGGAUGACUGCCCUAUGGGUUGUAAACUUCUUUUAUAUGGGAAUAAAAUGUUCCACGUGUGGGAUUUUGUAUGUACCAUAUGAAUAAGGAUCGGCUAACUCCUGGCCAGCAGCCGCGGUAAUACGGAGGAUCCGAGCGUUAUCCGGAUUUAUUGGGUUUAAAGGGAGCGUAGGUGGAUUGUUAAGUCAGUUGUGAAAGUUUGCGGCUAAACCGUAAAAUUGCAGUUGAAACUGGCAGUCGUGAGUACAGUAGAGGUGGGCGGAAUUCGUGGUGUAGCGGUGAAAUGCUUAGAUAUCACGAAGAACUCCGAUUGCGAAGGCAGCUCACUGGACUGCAACUGACACUGAGGCUCGAAAGUGUGGGUAUCAAACAGGAUUAGAUACCCGAGUAGUC